rnacentral:tRNA from 3 species
GGGUGUAACUCAAUGGCAGAGCGCCAGCCUUCCAAGCUGGAUACGUGGGUUCGAUUCCCAUCACCC